rnacentral:rRNA from 1 species
UACGUAGGGGGCAAGCGUUGUCCGGAAUUAUUGGGCGUAAAGCGCGCGCAGGCGGUUCAUUAAGUCUGGGGUUUAACCCCGGGGCUCAACCCCGGGUCGCACUGGAAACUGGUGGACUUGAGUACAGAAGAGGAAAGUGGAAUUCCACGUGUAGCGGUGAAAUGCGUAGAGAUGUGGAGGAACACCAGUGGCGAAGGCGACUUUCUGGUCUGUAACUGACGCUGAGGCGCGAAAGCGUGGGGAGCAAACAGG